rnacentral:tRNA from 1 species
GCUGAUAUAGCUCAGUCGGUAGAGCAUACCCUUGGUAAGGGUAAGGUCGGCAGUUCGAAACUGCCUAUCAGCA